UACGGAGGGUGCAAGCGUUAUCCGGAUUUACUGGGUUUAAAGGGUGCGUAGGCGGGCCUGUAAGUCAGUGGUGAAAUCUCCGGGCUUAACUCGGAAACUGCCAUUGAUACUAUAGGUCUUGAAUACUCUUGAGGUAAGCGGAAUAUGUCAUGUAGCGGUGAAAUGCUUAGAUAUGACAUAGAACACCGAUUGCGAAGGCAGCUUACUAAAUAGUUAUUGACGCUGAGGCACGAAAGCGUGGGGAUCAAACAGG
rnacentral:rRNA from 1 species